rnacentral:rRNA from 1 species
CUACGGGAGGCAGCAGUGAGGAAUUUUGCGCAAUGGGGGAAACCCUGACGCAGCAACGCCGCGUGAGUGAUGAAGGCUUUCGAGUCGUAAAGCUCUGUCAAGUGGGAAGAACCUACUAAGUGCCAAUACCACUUAGUACAGACGGUACCACUGAAGGAAGCACCGGCUAACUCCGUGCCAGCAGCCGCGGUAAUACGGGGGGUGCAAGCGUUACUCGGAAUUAUUGGGCGUAAAGGGCGCGCAGGCGGCCAGGUAAGUCAGAUGUGAAAGCCCGGGGCUCAACCCCGGAAGUGCAUUUGAAACUACUUGGCUUGAGUAUGGGAGAGGGAAGUGGAAUUCCUGGUGUAGAGGUGAAAUUCGUAGAUAUCAGGAGGAACACCGGUGGCGAAGGCGACUUCCUGGACCAAUACUGACGCUGAGGCGCGAAGGCGUGGGUAGCAAACAGGAUUAGAUACCCUUGUAGUC